GUCUCGAUAGCUCAGUGGUAGAGCAUGCGAUUGCAGUUAUUGAUAUACAUAUCGCAGUGUCCGGUGUUCGAACCACCGUCGGGACU